CCAUCCCAGACUCCCGUCCUCCCUCUUCCUCUUUCCUCUCCCCGUCUCCUCUCUUCUCCCCCGAUCUACCUCUUCUUUCCUCUCCUCCGCUUGCAGGAUGGGCAGAGGCUGCCGUCGCCAAGAUGGAGGCGCCUCCAUCUCCAGACCUGCGCCCCGCCCGACUCCCAGCCCCGGCCACCCGCGACCCCGGCCGUCGCAGCCCUCCGCCCCAUCCGCCCCCCGCGACCCCGGCCGCCACAGCCCCCUCCCCCCCAUCCAACGGUGACGAGGACUGCGCGGAGGAGCCGGGCGCAGCCCUCCUUGCCGCCGCCGCCCCCGACCCCAGCCGCUGCAUCCCCGCCGCCGCUCUUCCCGCAGACAUGGAGAGGAGGAGGAGCCGGCCGCCGCCCUGCAGGUUCCCUAUCUCCCUCUCGGUUUCCCUCUCUUUCUUCUCUCACUCUUGCAGGACGUCGGUGUUGAGGAGCAGUUGCCGACGAGGCGGCGCGGCCGAUGUAGCAGGAGGAGCUCCGCGACUACCGAGGAGGCACGGCCGCUGUAGCAGGUGCGGGCUCCAGGGGCACCAAGCAGUCGCCGCUGCUGCCGAGGAGGGCCCUCCUCCGUCCAUCUCUAGCCGCCGCGCCACCUGCGUGUGCGGUGAGGUCGACAGAAUUGGGGCUGGCCUGGGGCAGCUGGCCUAGUUUUUUUUUAUUUUCUCAAAUUCCCUAUCAAUGUCGGGCAUGAGGCGCCACAUCAGUAACGGGUGGCCUACCCGUCACUGACGAGCACCUCAUUACUAGCAGAAAUGUUGUGGCGGACGUCCUGACCGUCAGUGAUGUCAUUUUUUGCCCGUUGCUGAUGAGGUGUUUUGUAGUAGUGUCCCGUAUAACUCAUAUUCGCAUGUCUCACCCGGGUUUGUGAUACCCUUGUAUUCUGGCCUCACUUGCUUGCUACUUAGUGGUAAUGCAACGUGUUCGUUGCCGACAGAGUCAGUGGCGGCUUUGAAAAUCUAGUGUACGGGUAAUAGGUAUAGAUUCUAGUUGUAACUUACGCACUAGGGGUAGUGUGGCGUGUGUGAGUGCGUGAAUUCAGAUACUACAAUUGUACCGUAAUCGAGGGCCUUAUAGGAGAGAGAGUAAAAGCUACCCUUCUCUUUAGCAUCUCUUACAGUGAAAUGAGACCAUCACGGAGGCAAAUGCAAAGAUACAAGUAGCUUGUAGCUACCCGGGGAGAUUGUGGAGCAUAUGCAACGAAAUUGAUUC